CAACUACUCCCUCUUUCCCAAAUUUCUUGUCUUAGAUUUGUCUAGAUACGGAUGUAUCUAUACUAAAAUGUGACUUGAUACAUCUGUAUCUAGACAAAUCUAAGACAAGAAUUUUGGGACGGAGGGAGUACUUU
rfam:Triticum aestivum genome assembly, contig: Triticum_aestivum_CS42_TGACv1_scaffold_252589_3DL